rnacentral:rRNA from 1 species
UACAGAGGUCUCAAGCGUUGUUCGGAUUCAUUGGGCGUAAAGGGUGCGUAGGCGGCGCGGUAAGUCGGGUGUGAAAUCUCGGAGCUUAACUCCGAAACUGCAUUCGAUACUGGCGUGCUUGAGGACUGGAGAGGAGACUGGAAUUCAUGGUGUAGCAGUGGAAUGCGUAGAGAUCAUGAGGAAGACCAGUGGCGAAGGCGGGUCUCUGGACAGUUCCUGACACUGAGACACGAAGGCCAGGGGAGCAAACGGG